CUGCAAGGCCAAGCGUGUAUGUUUUUGUUUUUCUGUUUGUUUUACAGAUGUUUUUGAGUCUGACCGUAAAGCCUUGGCAGUGAGAGCCGCUGCAUUUCCCUCCCCUCUAGAGGCUCAUUUUUCUUCGUGGAGUGGAAUUCAGACCCAGCUGAGGUGCCACUUCUCAGCAGUAUAUAAUAAGGAUAAUUAAAGAGCAGAAAUGAUUAGCGAGCUGGAAGUUGGAGGGAUUUGAAACUCAUCCAGGGAUCUGAAACUUCAGCAGCUUCUUUUCUGAUAUACUUCAACCAGGCAAAGGAGUUUUCAGGCUGUGUUAUGCCUUAAUUCUUCCAUGCAGCCCAUUAUCUGCUCCUUAUUGAGCUACAAUAAACGUAGAGUCCUUGAAGUACAUUUUUCUUCCCAAAUCACGUUAAGAAUGAAAGAUUGCGACAUCGAAUUGAGGAUGUAUUGUCAAAUGGAAUCAUUUCAGGAUUGUACUAAAUGUUAAUGUGUAGGGGUACAGGAGCCAACGCUGACUAUGCUCACAGUGACCUCACUGGGGACAUCCUGCUCUGGGUGAGAGGGAGUCAGAGGGACACCAGGAACCUGCUCACAUCUGCACUUGAGGUAAUGAAUCCAUAAGAGGAGGAGCUUGGACAUCGACUGUCUCAAGGAGCUUCACACUGCAUUUCAUCUGUACUCUUGCAGACAUCUCCAACAACAUUUGCAUGAAUGAAAAUGUUGCUGCCUGAAUAUUUUUUUGAUUCAAUAGAGUUUUGCAUAUGUGUAUUCAUGUCUGGAGCCAUAAUGUGUUGUAUCUGUGCCUCUGUAAGUGCAAUAAACCAUUUUUCUUGUGUAGUUUCUUGGAUGUUUUUCAAAUAAGAUCAUCCUGAAAGAAGCAAUAUUCUUGUAGAGAGUUGCACCUGGAGGGGAUGAAUGCCC
rnacentral:lncRNA from 1 species